UACGUAGGGUGCGAGCGUUGUCCGGAAUUAUUGGGCGUAAAGAGCUCGUAGGCGGUUUGUCGCGUCGGCCGUGAAAAACUUGGGGCUUAACCCCAAGCCUGCGGUCGAUACGGGCAGACUUGAGUUCGGCAGGGGAGACGUGGAAUUCCUGGUGAGCGGUGAAAUGCGCAGAUAUCAGGAGGAACACCGGUGGCGAAGGCGGGUCUCUGGGCAGUAACUGACGCUGAUGCGCGAAAGCUAGGGGAGCAAACGGG
rnacentral:rRNA from 1 species